rnacentral:rRNA from 1 species
GACAGAGGGUGCGAACGUUGUUCGGAAUUACUGGGCGUAAAGCGCGUGUAGGCGGCAGCGUGUGUCGGGCGUGAAAUCCCACGGCUCAACCGUGGAAGUGCACUCGAAACUUCCGAGCUGGAGUCCUGGAGAGGAAGGCGGAAUUCUCGGUGUAGAGGUGAAAUUCGUAGAUAUCGAGAGGAACACCGGUGGCGAAGGCGGCCUUCUGGACAGUGACUGACGCUGAGACGCGAAAGCGUGGGGAGCAAACAGG